rnacentral:rRNA from 1 species
UUUACGGAGAGUUUGAUCCUGGCUCAGGACGAACGCUGGCGGCGUGCUUAACACAUGCAAGUCGAACGAUGAAGCCGGAGCUUGCUCUGGUGGAUUAGUGGCGAACGGGUGAGUAACACGUGAGUAACCUGCCCUUGACUCUGGGAUAAGCGUUGGAAACGACGUCUAAUACCGGAUACGAGCUGGGACCGCAUGGUCACCAGCUGGAAAGAAUUUCGGUCAAGGAUGGACUCGCGGCCUAUCAGUUAGUUGGUGAGGUAACGGCUCACCAAGACGACGACGGGUAGCCGGCCUGAGAGGGUGACCGGCCACACUGGGACUGAGACACGGCCCAGACUCCUACGGGAGGCAGCAGUGGGGAAUAUUGCACAAUGGGCGCAAGCCUGAUGCAGCAACGCCGCGUGAGGGACGACGGCCUUCGGGUUGUAAACCUCUUUUAGUAGGGAAGAAGCGAAAGUGACGGUACCUGCAGAAAAAGCACCGGCUAACUACGUUCCAGCAGCCGCGGUAAUUCGUAGGGUGCAAGCGUUAAUCGGAAUUACUGGGCGUAAAGCGUGCGCAGGCGGUUUUGUAAGUCAGAUGUGAAAUCCCCGAGCUCAACUUGGGAA